UACUCUGAUGCUUUCGCCAAAGUGUUGUAUGAAAAUGCUUCAUCCUCAAGAAAACCCCUAGAAAGAAAUCUAACAAGUACAGAUUUUUGAUAAGUUUCUGAUCAAACCACUGAACUGGAAAUACCUUUUAUGGAAUAUCUGAUUGCGUGUACAAUGUAGACUUAGCUUUGAGAGCCUAAUUACAUCACUGCCUCCUGAAAUAAGACUUAACCAGAGAUAACCCUUUUUUUAAUCUGAAAGCGCUUAUCUGAAUGGCCAGAUAACAAGAUGAGACUUAACUGCUCAUACUUGCCAGGAAACCAGCCAAGGAGGACUGGGAAGCAUUCCAGCUUGGGGAGAGAGACAGCUGAUCACUCAGCUGCCUUGAGGGCAGUGGAAGGAGAGCCAUGCUACUCGCUGUUGCCUCCUGAGCAAGUUGAUGGCAGUACCUACCGAGGUCUUUGUCUUGGUUAUGUGUGGAGAUAAUUCCUUGUUUUAAAAACUUGCAUAUUUGGAAAACAGUGUGACAUCUGGCUCCUAGAUCAAACUCUGAUUCAA